AUGCAAGUCGAACGCUGAAGCCCCAGCUUGCUGGGGUGGAUGAGUGGCGAACGGGUGAGUAACACGUGAGUAACCUUCCCUUGACUCUGGGAUAAGCCUGGGAAACCGGGUCUAAUACCGGAUGCGACCGUCCACCGCAUGGUGGUCGGUGGAAAGAUUUAUCGGUCUUGGAUGGACUCGCGGCCUAUCAGCUUGUUGGUGGGGUAAUGGCCCACCAAGGCGACGACGGGUAGCCGGCCUGAGAGGGUGACCGGCCACACUGGGACUGAGACACGGCCCAGACUCCUACGGGAGGCAGCAGUGGGGAAUAUUGCACAAUGGGCGCAAGCCUGAUGCAGCGACGCCGCGUGAGGGAUGACGGCCUUCGGGUUGUAAACCUCUUUCAGUAGGGAAGAAGCGAAAGUGACGGUACCUGCAGAAGAAGCGCCGGCUAACUACGUGCCAGCAGCCGCGGUAAUACGUAGGGCGCGAGCGUUAUCCGGAAUUAUUGGGCGUAAAGAGCUCGUAGGCGGUUUGUCGCGUCUGCCGUGAAAGUCCGGGGCUUAACCCCGGAUCUGCGGUGGGUACGGGCAGACUGGAGUGCAGUAGGGGAGACUGGAAUUCCUGGUGUAGCGGUGAAAUGCGCAGAUAUCAGGAGGAACACCGAUGGCGAAGGCAGGUCUCUGGGCUGUUACUGACGCUGAGGAGCGAAAGCAUGGGGAGCGAACAGGAUUAGAUACCCUGGUAGUCCAUGCCGUAAACGUUGGGCAC
rnacentral:rRNA from 1 species